UCUCUUUGCAAAAAUGCCAAUAAUAACAGAUGUCAGAAGGUCAAAUUUGUGAUAUUUGGCAGGCAAAAUUAUACAUUUUUUUGUAAACAGAGUAGUGAUGUAUAAAAAAACAGCUCAUACAGAACUCAUACAGCUUUCUGUUGGUCAACGCAGCAAAUCCUUUACAAAAUUAGUUUGCCCUCAAGUAAAAUGUCAGAUUACAGAUUCCGAUUAAAAUGACUUGAAUUCACUUGUGAAAAUUUGCCAAAAUACGGUAAAUGUGUGUAAAGUCAUAAAGGUACAGCAACAAACAGUGUGUUGGGAAAACUGUCAUGCAGUAUUAGAAAAUGAAUGUUUUUGGUGCAAUAUGCUUUAUCUAAUAUUAUCACAUAACACUAGGGGGGAAAAAAACUAAAAAAAUUAUGCUCUAAAAAACAAACUCCACAAAUGCAGAUAGUGAAUUUGACUUUCUCUUUUCCUUUCUCUUCCGCCCAUCUCUUUCUCUUGCAGGUCUCUGUCCCCUUGAUAAAGAGCGGUUUGAAUAUCAAUGAGGUUUAUUCUCUCCCGGGUCUGCAGCCAGCUGUUAAAGAAUUGUGAUGGGCAAUGGUCCGAGCUGUGAACACAGAAGUUGUGGGCUCAAACUCAAGCAGUGUUGACCCAGGAACUGAGAAGUGCUAUGAUUUCAGCCCCAUUCUGUCACCGUUCUUCCCUGGAGCGUGACACUUCCUCAUGUUCCGCCCCAGGUUGUUCCAGAGGGUCUGUCCUGGCAAUUAGUGUAACUGAAAGUCACUUUAAAUGAGAAUGUAUGUGCUACAAAGCUGAGUGACUAAAUGGAUUGCCUGUUUAAAAUCCAGACAGACCAUAGGAGGUUUGAAAUAUCAUGUUAACAUUAAACUGUGCUCAUAACGUUUUAUGCUUUGUAUCCGUUUCUAAAUACCAACCCAAGGUCAUUGGAAAAAAACAUGUCUGUGGUGAUAUUUCCUCAGAAUGAUAUUAUGUUGCUUCCUGCACAUUUUGUUACACUUUCAAAGUGGAAUAUCCAGUGAGUGGCGUUAAAAGCAUCCAAAAUGGAUGAACAUGAAUAUGGCGAUAUUUCAUUCUGUUUGUUGUUGAACAUAUUGUGGCAGGUCAGAAAUGAAAUAUCCAGUGAGUAGCAUUAAAAGGAUAAUUCUCUAUCGCAUUUGAAAACGGCAUACCACUACACUAAACCUAACCGGUAAUGUUAACAGAAAACACAUUCGCUGAAGCAACCAAGCCAUUAUAAACUUGCUUCUAUACCUGAGCACUCUGCAUUGCAAUUGCAGUGCUGUACCAGGUGAGCUACCAAGCAAGUUUACCACACCAGAAAAGCCGUACAUAUGGAUUUGAUUACAUGAAAGUGUAUUAGUUUAUGAAUCAUGCAUAGUAUUGUGCUAGGAACCCU
rnacentral:lncRNA from 12 species